rnacentral:sRNA from 1 species
CAGUCGUGUUUACAUUUGAUGGACAGGUU